rnacentral:rRNA from 1 species
CUCAACCGGGGGAUGGCACUUGAAACUGCGCAGCUAGAGUUCUGGAGAGGGUGGCGGAAUUCCCGGUGUAGGAGUGAAAUCCGUAGAGAUCGGGAGGAACACCAGAGGCGAAGGCGGCCACCUGGCCAGAAACUGACGCUGAGGCGCGAAAGCGUGGGUAGCAAACAGGAUUAGAUACCCUGGUAGUCCACGCUGUAAACACUGGAUGCUAGAUGCGGGUGACGUAGAAGUCAUUCGUGUCGCAGCUAACGCGUUAAGCAUCCCGCCUGGGGAGUACGGCCGCAAGGCUGAAACUCAAAGGAAUUGACGGGGGCCUGCACAAGCGGUGGAGUAUGUGGUUUAAUUCGAUGCAACGCGAAGAACCUUACCUGGGCUUGACAUCCCGGGAACCCGCUGGAGACAGCGGGGUGCCCUUCGGGGAGCCC